rnacentral:lncRNA from 1 species
AGUGGAGCCUGUGCAGUUUGGGAUACUGGGAUUCUCUCUUCUGUCCGUACCCAGCUUGCACCCUGCUGCUUAAUUUUGCCUGCAGGUCUGCUCGUCUCAGCUGUGUCUUCACGUGAAGGCAGCCAAUGCGCACUAAGCGUGCUGAUGAAAUGUGCAGGAGCUGAGGCUCUGCUGCCCUGCCUCCCUGGCAGCCACCCCCAGCAGCAGCAGGAUGCUCCGAGGCAGCAGUGGAUGGCGUUUGAAGCUGUGGCUGGGCUUCCGCUCGUGGGCAGGCACGUGCUGCUGAAGGACAGGGUCUGCUCUCUUCUUCCAGUGCUGUUACGCUUGUUAGGAAUCUGAAAGAGCAGAACUGCAGCUGCUGAAUAAGCCAGACCCAAUCCAGGGGAGCACAUCUGUCCACUUUCCCCUUCACCUACCUCAGAAGCGUGCAAAGGAGGAACUCGUAUGAGUAUUUCGGGGAUUUGUUAUGUUUGUGGGCAAAAGAAAAGGCAGCCAGUGUUUUCUAAUAUUGUCUCUGUUGUUUUUUCCACUCGGAGCUCUUAAGCAUCUAGUUUUUCCUAAUGAUGUAUGUUUUUUUAGUUGCCUGGUUGUCAAACGUGGGACCCUCUGUCACAUA